UGAUCAUGCUGUGGGUGUUUAUGAAUGUUCUGGAAGCAUGUGUCUCCAUGCAACCAUUAAAAAGGAACUGGCAAUCACUCGACAACAAAAGCAUUGCAUGAGCUGUAAAGCGAACUAAUUUUCUUGUUCUGAAUGAUAGUGGGCUUCCACUAGGUGGCAUGUGUGGUGCAUAAAAGUAGUGCAGGAGCUGUAAUACAGUGGUUCCAAACCACAUUCCUGGAUGCCCCCCAACACUGCACAUUUUGCUUGUCACCUUAAUUAAGCACACCUGAUUCAGAUCAUCAGCUCAUUAGCUGAGACUCCAAGACCAGAAAUAGGUGUGUCAGAAAAAGGAGACAUGGAAAAUGUGCAGUGUUGGGGGGACUCCAGGAAUGCGGAUGGGAACCACUGCGGUAAUGGAUUUGCAUAGUAUUCAGUGGAAACCAAGGGUACAUAGUACAUGGUGAGGAGAUGCUCAAGCUGCAUUUGGUGUAGCUCGAGCUGGAGGCCGUGGAGAAGCAGAUCCGUGACGUGGUGGAGAAGCAGGCCCAGCUGAGAGAGCGGAGAGCCGCACUGGAAACAAGUCCGAUGCAGCGUGAGAAUCCUACUGAGCAUGUGCAGAUUAAGUGUCAUCACUCCCCUGUACAACUGCCCCCGGUCUCCCCUAAUUUUUAACUAAUGAGAUACUAAUGUAUUUUAUGUCAUGAAGAGUUUUGUUGUUUUGUAUGUAAAACUAAGUAAAAUAAACUGGAAUUUAUCAGUUUAAAAUUUAGCAUCUAUCUUAACAGUGAGGGCAUCAGCAUCGAUUUGAUGUCGUUAACAUUCCUUAGAUAUUUGAAAAUGUGAAUUCUAGAAUAAAAAUAACUGGGUCUUAGAACUUCAACCC